rnacentral:rRNA from 1 species
GACAGAGGGUGCGAACGUUGUUCGGAAUUACUGGGCGUAAAGCGAGUGUAGGCGGUUCCGUAAGUCGGAUGUGAAAGCCCCGGGCUCAACCCGGGAAGUGCACUCGAUACUGCAGAGCUAGAGUACUGGAGAGGUGGGUGGAAUUCCAGGUGUAGCAGUGAAAUGCGUAGAUAUCUGGAGGAACACCGAUGGCGAAGGCAGCCCCCUGGGCUAACACUGACGCUGAUGCACGAAAGCGUGGGGAGCAAACAGG